UACAGAGGGGGCAAGCGUUGUUCGGAAUUACUGGGCGUAAAGGGCGCGUAGGCGGCCUUCUAAGUCGAACGUGAAAUCCCCGGGCUCAACCCGGGAACUGCGUCCGAUACUGGAAGGCUUGAAUCCGGGAGAGGGAUGCGGAAUUCCAGGUGUAGCGGUGAAAUGCGUAGAUAUCAGGAGGAACACCGAUGGCGAAGGCAGCUCGCUGGGACGGUACUGACGCUGAGACGCGAAAGCGUGGGGAGCAAACAGG
rnacentral:rRNA from 1 species